UACGUAGGGUGCAAGCGUUGUCCGGAAUUAUUGGGCGUAAAGAGCUCGUAGGCGGUUUGUCGCGUCGAAUGUGAAAACCCGGGGCUCAACCCCGGGCCUGCAUUCGAUACGGGCAGACUAGAGUUCGGUAGGGGAGUCUGGAAUUCCUGGUGUAGCGGUGAAAUGCGCAGAUAUCAGGAAGAACACCCGUGGCGAAGGCGGCUCUCUGGGACGGUACUGACGCUGAGACGCGAAAGCGUGGGGAGCAAACAGG
rnacentral:rRNA from 1 species